GGACGAACGCUGGCGGCGUGCCUAACACAUGCAAGUCGAGCGAGGAGAUCCUCGGGAUGAUCCUAGCGGCGGACGGGUGAGUAACACGUGGGCAACCUGCCUCAUAGAGAGGAAUAGUCUUCCGAAAGGGAGAUUAAUACCUCAUAACAUUGCAGUUUCGCAUGGAACAGCAAUUAAAGGAGCAAUCCGCUAUGAGAUGGGCCCGCGGCGCAUUAGCUAGUUGGUGAAGUAACGGCUCACCAAGGCGACGAUGCGUAGCCGACCUGAGAGGGUGAUCGGCCACAUUGGGACUGAGACACGGCCCAGACUCCUACGGGAGGCAGCAGUGGGGAAUAUUGCACAAUGGGGGAAACCCUGAUGCAGCCAACGCCGCGUGAGUGAUGACGGCCUUCGGGUUGUAAAGCUCUGUCUUCAGGGACGAUAAUGACGGUACCUGAGGAGGAAGCCACGGCUAACUACGUGCCAGCAGCAGC
rnacentral:rRNA from 1 species